rnacentral:rRNA from 1 species
UACGUAGGGUGCAAGCGUUAAUCGGAAUUACUGGGCGUAAAGCGUGCGCAGGCGGUUAUGCAAGACAGAUGGGAAAUCCCCGGGCUCAACCUGGGAACUGCAUUUGUGACUGCAUGGCUGGAGUGCGGCAGAGGGGGAUGGAAUUCCGCGUGUAGCAGUGAAAUGCGUAGAUAUGCGGAGGAACACCGAUGGCGAAGGCAAUCCCCUGGGCCUGCACUGACGCUCAUGCACGAAAGCGUGGGGAGCAAACGGG